GAAAUGGUUCUGGGAACUUACAGCUUUAAUAAGAUCAAACAAUGCAUCAAAUGGAGGUCUGAGUUGGAGAUCUGGGCUUCGACCUGCAGAAAUAAGAAUUGAGGCCUGUUGGGUGCUUCGCUGCUGGCAGUGCUCUCUCACGUGCCCUUUCCAGCUGGCUCUCACCUGAUUCUCAGACACCUCUGAGAGCUAGGUGGUGUUCUCGUGUACAUGUUAGAGAUGAGGAAACCCAAUCUCUGACAGCUGUCUAUCCACCUGUUUGGAAGGGGCUGAACUGUGUUCCCCCCAAGCUCAUCUGUUGAAGCUUUAACCCCCAGUACUUCAAAGCAUGUCUUUAUUCAGAGAUAGUCUUUCAAGAGAUAAUUAAGAUGCAGUGAAGUCAUUAGCGUGGGCCCUAAUCCGAUCUGACUGGUGUCCUAACAGGAAGAGGAGAUUAGAACACAGACAUGACCAUGUAAGGACACAGGGAGAAGGCGGCCGUCUGUAAGCCAAGGAGGGAGGCUCAGAAGGAACGAACCCUGCUCACACCUGGAUCCCAGACUUCUAGCUUCCAGGACGGAGAAAAUAAAUGUUGUUGAAGCCGCCUACCCUAUGGUACUUUAUUAUGGAAGCCCUAGCACACUAAUACAUUAAGAGCCAAUCAGGAAGAUGCAGCAAUGGCCACUGUGAGAAAAGGAAACCUGCAGAGGACAUCUGUUAUCGAUAUUUUGAAGCCCUAACUUCUGGGACCUCAGAAUGUGACCUUAUUUGGAAAUUGGAAAUAGAAUCCUUGCCAGUGAAAUUACUUAAGUUGAGGUCAUAUGAGAAAGGGUGGGCCCUUCAUCCAAGAAGAUUGGUGUCUUUAUAAGAAGAGAAGAAGGGACACCGACAUAAAGGGAAGAGGACAGCCACGUAUGUGAUGAUGCAGACAGAGACUAGAGGGAUGAGUCUGCAAGCCAAGGAAUGCAAGGAUGGCUGGCAACACCAGACGCUCAAAAGAGAUAAGAAAGGAUCCUUCCCUACAGUCUUCAGAAGGAGCAAGGCCCUGCUAACAUGUUGAUCUUGGACUUCUGGCUUCCAGAACCAUAAGGGGGUUCUGGUGGUUUAUGGUGCUUUGUUGCACCACCUGGUUUAUGGUGCUUUGUUGCAGCAGCCCUUGGAAAGGUAAUUGAAUGUCCCGUGAGGUGUCAUGAGGGUGUGACCUGGAAUUAGCUCUGCUGCUCUGCAUGGCAUCACUUUUUUUGUCCUUAGUUUGAUUCCCCUUAUUAAAAGUAGCUGGAGGCCGGGUGCAGUGGCUCACAUCUGUAAUCCCAGCAGUUCAGGAGGCCGAUGCAGGUGGAUGGCUUGAGGCCAGGAGUUCAAGACUAGCCUGAGCAACAUGGAGAAACCCUGUGUCUACAAAAAAAAAUAUGUAUAUAUAUACAAAAAUUAGCUGGGCAUGGUGGCACACACCUAUAGUCCCAGCUACUCAGGAGGCUGAAGUGGGAGGAUUGCUUGAGCCUAGAAGGUAAAGGCUGCAGUGAGUUGAGAUCGCACCACUGCACUCCAGCCUGGGCAACAGAGUGAGAACCUGUCUCAAAAACAAAACAAAACAAAACAAAAAAAAAACAAAGAGUAAUUGCUUUUAAACCCAAAGCUAGGUGAUAGUGAGUGUUUGUGUGCUAACUUCCGGUGAGCACUCACAUGCCUAUCUCGCUGGAGUCCUAUGUUCCCAGGCUUGCAUCUGUCUGCCUGUUCCCCCUACGUCUCCACCCACAGAGGUAGCCGCGGCUCUGCAGCUCUGGAGCCUCAGGGCUGGAAGCAGGUGAGGGGAGGCCUUUGUUGAUCCUGCUCAACCAAUGCCCCCGCUGCCACAUAGAAGAAACGGUGGACGUGUUUAGAAAAUGAUACCAAGUUUACCCCUGAAACGCAAUUGCAUAUCCUGUGCAGGCUGAGUGAGGCAAGGUGAAACUAUUGACUGGUAUCACUUGAGAUAGAGCCAACUGUUCAAACUGAAACUGAAAGACAGCGUGGUCCCUCUGAGGAAAAAAGGGCAGAAGUAAAAGCACGAAAUUGUCACUUGUGUAGUGGCAAACAAAAAAGAAAGAGAAAAUAGGUUUCACUUAUUUAAAUUAUAAAAGUAGUUAGUAUGUGCUGAUUCAAAAAACUUAAAAGAUACAGAAGUGUAUAAGAUAGAAACAGAACUGCGUCUGCCUCCACCUCCUCCCCUGCCCACAAGCCAGCCCUCCACUUUCAGACUCCACAGAAGCAACUGUUUUAAUGCGUGGUAAACAUAUUUAGAAGAACUUUCUCUGCUGUGCAUAAAAGCAUGCUCUAACAUCAUUUGGUUUCACUUCAUUUUAUUUUAAAACCACA
rnacentral:lncRNA from 1 species